CAGGAAGCAGAUGGCUGCUUUGUGUUUUGGAGGCUAUCUGCAUGGGCUCCAGGAAGGUAUUUUGACCAAGGUGACCGGAUUGUGCAGCAGCCUUGGACAUCUUUGACUCCAGUCCCUGACCCCACCAGGAAAAGGCAGAGGCACCUGAUUUCCCCGCACCUGUGGAGCUGCAGGGGGUGUCUGGGUCUCCAACUCCAGUGGGGAAUGAUGUUCAACUUCCUGUUACACUGGGAUCCACCUGUGGGUGAGAAUGAAGGGCUUGGAGCCUUGACCCUGGAUGGAGACAUGUCUUCCCUUUCACAGGAGAUCAUAAAACCAGAGCUGACAGCAAAGAUGGUCCUUCCUGAGAGUAGGUAUUAGUCGAAUUCAAGCAAACAUCCCGUGCUGUGGAGACGGAUCCGUCCCAGCUGGGCUGGAGCAGCCUUCUGAGGCUAUCACCUGACUGGCCCACCAGAGGUCAAUGUCAGUGAUAUGAGAAACUCCACAGCAAUUCUGCCCGUGAGCGAUAAAG
rnacentral:lncRNA from 1 species